rnacentral:RNase_P_RNA from 1 species
UGAGUCGGCCGGGCGGUCGCGUCGAGAGUUCGCUCUCGCCGAGGAAAGUCCGGGCUCCACAGGGCAGGGUGAUGGCUAACAGCCACCCGGGGCGACCCGCGGGAAAGUGCCACAGAGAACAGACCGCCACGCUCAUGAGCGCGGCAAGGGUGAAACGGUGGUGCAAGAGACCACCAGCGCCCCAGGCGACUGGGGCGGCUCGGUAAACCCCACCCGGAGCAAGAUCAGACAGCAUGCGUCGAAGCGGCCCGCUGAGCAUGUGG